AUGCGGGGCUGGUCAGAGCGAAACAUGGCCUGUGCAGCCAGGGAGGUUCUUCUCAAGACAGUUGUCCAGUCGAUCCCCACCUUGAGCAUCAGUUGUUUCCUCUUGACGAAGAAAGUUUGCAAAUCGAUCACUUCGUGCAUGGCUAAGUACUGGUGGGGCAGUUCGAUCGACAAGCGCUCGCUACACUGGCUCUCGUGGGACAAGCUCGAGGUGCCUAAAGUAAAAGGUGGCAUGGGUUUUCGCAACAUGCAGUCCUUCAACCUCGCUAUGCUUGGGAAACACGGUUGGCGUCUUCUUACAAGACCGGAUUCUUUGUGUGCUAGGUACUGA
rnacentral:rRNA from 1 species